GGGCCCGCACAAGCGGAGGAACAUGUGGUUUAAUUCGAUGAUACGCGAGGAACCUUACCCGGGCUUGAAAUGCAUUUGACAGGGGCAGAGAUGCCCUCUCCCUUCGGGGCAGAUGUGUAGGUGCUGCAUGGUUGUCGUCAGCUCGUGCCGUGAGGUGUCGGCUUAAGUGCCAUAACGAGCGCAACCCUCAUCAUUAGUUACCAUCAGGUAAAGCUGGGGACUCUAGUGAGACUGCCAUCGUAAGAUGAGAGGAAGGUGGGGAUGACGUCAAAUCAGCACGGCCCUUACGUCCGGGGCGACACACGUGUUACAAUGGGUGGUACAAAGGGCAGCUACCUGGCGACAGGAUGCUAAUCUCCAAAACCACUCUCAGUUCGGAUCGGAGUCUGCAACUCGACUCCGUGAAGCUGGAUUCGCUAGUAAUCGCGCAUCAGCCACGGCGCGGUGAAUACGUUCCCGGGCCUU
rnacentral:rRNA from 1 species